rnacentral:lncRNA from 1 species
CUCUCCUUCCUUCAUCCCCGGCCUGCGCCAGCUGGAUCGGGUCCCCAUGUCCUCACCCAGGGAGACCUAUCGGCCGCUCUCUCUCUCUCUCUCUGCAAGACAUGAGGCAAUCAAGUUCUCCUCGGUGAGAAGGUCCACACGAACCUCCAGGGCCGGUGGCAGUCUAUCCUGCAAGACCACAUUCUGGGGAGCCCAAGAGGAAAGAGGGGAGCAUGGAGGGGGGGCUUUCCCCGAGGCAGGCGGUGGGGCAGGGAGGGGCCCGUUGCCAGGAUACGCAGGAGGGUUGCCGUAACAAAGGGGGGGGGUUCUCGGCGGAAUGUCCACCUCUGGGCUCAACGGUCAGUUGUCCAUUGGAGCCUCUCUUGGAUGGUGGUGUGAAGGGGGUGCUCUGUGGGUCACACCCGUGUUUUAGCAUUUCGCCGGACCGUUACCAGCCCCUAAGCAUGUUUUUGAGGCUGAGGAAAUGGGUUUCGAACACCCGGAGACCCUCCAGAAAGGGAGACGAAGAGUUGUCGCCACCACCCACUUUGGCGCAGCCGAAGAGGAUCUUUGGAAAGGGGCAGGAGGAGAUGGACUCCUCUCGGAAAGAGAUGAGGGGGUUACUCAGUGAAGACCCCCGCACCCCUCUUGGGGGGUCGGGGGGUUACUCAGCGAAGACCCCCGCACCCCUCUUGGGGGGUCCGCGACCAGAAUCACUUCAUGGUGGGUGCUGAAGCCAGGGAUGCUGUGCGGCUAAAUAUCUCCCCCCCCCAGCCCCUGGGAUUCCUCCCUGGGACCCACGGAGUUUCAGCCGGGUCGGGUGGUGGAGCGUCCACGCCAGGGGCUACCAGGACCGCUCGGACAGGCCCCAGCGAAGACCCCCGCACCCCUCUUGGGGGGUCCGCGACCAGAAUCACUUCAUGGUGGGUGCUGAAGCCAGGGAUGCUGUGCGGCUAAAUAUCUCCCCCCCCCAGCCCCUGGGAUUCCUCCCUGGGACCCACGGAGUUUCAGCCGGGUCGGGUGGUGGAGCGUCCACGCCAGGGGCUACCAGGACCGCUCGGACAGGCCCCACGGCAAAUCGGAUCCUGGCCCUGGGCUCCCGUCCUCACCAUUUCCCCCCCCUUUUUCUCUUCCAGGAGAAGAUGGGUUUGGGUCCUGAAGGGACACUCCAGGGGGCCGAGACAGCAGCGGACCCCUCAGGGGAAGCGGGGGGCCCAAUUUGGGAGGCGGCAGAAGGAGGCGGAGGCGUCCCCAAAAAGCCCGUUGGGGAUACUUGUCGAAGAAGAGGAAGAUGAUGGCGAGCAAAGCCUGGACAGAGGAUGGACAUUAAACGGACCAAGAUCGAGAUCACCAUCGUCCUUGUCAAGAGAGAAGCCGUCCUCCCUUCAUCGGUCCGAUCCGGAGACGCGUAUGUUUGUGUGUUUGUUUGUCUGUGUGCGUUUUGGACAGAUAAUUAUGCACGGCAACAAGAGGAAAGGAUGAGACUUUGUUAACCGCUGUCGGUUAAGAAAAUAAAAUAAAUUGCCUGAAUAAAUAAAUAAACGGU